rnacentral:tRNA from 4 species
UGCCGGGUCGUUCAAAUGGAAGGACGCUGCGGAUCUGAACCGCGGUAUCUAGGUUCAAUUCCUAGCCCGGCAUCCA